rnacentral:misc_RNA from 1 species
UCCCGGUUGGCCCGGGCAGUCUCGCAUGAAAAAUUCAACAUACGACAAGGGUUGCGCUCGUUGCGGGACUUAACCCAACAUCUCACGACACGAGCUGACGACGGCCAUGCAGCACCUGUCACUAGGCUCCCGAAGGCACCCUCUGAUUUCUCAAAGGUUCCUAGGAUGUCAAGCCUGGGUAAGGUUCUUCGCGUAUCGUCAAAUUAAACCACAUCAUCCACCGCUUGUGCGGGUCCCCGUCAAUUCCUUUGAGUUUUAACCUUGCGGUCGUACUUCCCAGGCGGCAUACUUAUCGCGUUAGCUUCUUGGCCCAGGGGGUCGAUACCCCAAACCAAUAGUAUGCAUCGUUUACGGCGUGGACUAC